AUCCCCGUAACUCAAUGGAUCAGAGUGCGUGAUUACGAAUCACGAAGUUGAAGGUUCAAAUCCUUCCGGGGGUGCCA
rnacentral:tRNA from 1 species